rnacentral:rRNA from 1 species
GACGAACGCUGGCGGCGUGCCUAAUACAUGCAAGUAGAACGCUGAAGCGAGGAGCUUGCUCUUCUUGGAUGAGUUGCGAACGGGUGAGUAACGCGUAGGUAACCUGCCUUGUAGCGGGGGAUAACUAUUGGAAACGAUAGCUAAUACCGCAUAACAAUGGAUGACACAUGUCAUUUAUUUGAAAGGGGCAAUUGCUCCACUACAAGAUGGACCUGCGUUGUAUUAGCUAGUAGGUGAGGUAAUGGCUCACCUAGGCGACGAUACAUAGCCGACCUGAGAGGGUGAUCGGCCACACUGGGACUGAGACACGGCCCAGACGCCUACGGGAGGCAGCAGUAGGGAAUCUUCGGCAAUGGGGGCAACCCUGACCGAGCAACGCCGCGUGAGUGAAGAAGGUUUUCGGAUCGUAAAGCUCUGUUGUAAGUCAAGAACGGGUGUGAGAGUGGAAAGUUCACACUGUGACGGUAGCUUACCAGAAAGGGACGGCUAACUACGUG